GACGAACGCUGGCGGCGUGCUUAACACAUGCAAGUCGAACGGGAUUUAGUAAACGGAAGCCUCGGUGGAAGAUUACUAAUGAGAGAGGCGAACGGGUGAGUAACGCGUGAGCAACCUGCCUAUGACAGUGGGAUAGCCUCGGGAAACCGGGAUUAAUACCGCAUAAAAUCGUAGAAACACAUGUUUCAACGGUCAAAGAUUUAUCGGUCAUAGAUGGGCUCGCGUCUGAUUAGCUAGUUGGUGAGAUAACAGCCCACCAAGGCGACGAUCAGUAGCCGGUCUGAGAGGAUGAACGGCCACAUUGGAACUGAGACACGGUCCAAACUCCUACGGGAGGCAGCAGUGGGGAAUAUUGCACAAUGGGGGAAACCCUGAUGCAGCGACGCCGCGUGAACGAAGAAGGUAUUCGUAUCGUAAAGUUCUGUCCUAUGGGAAGAUAAUGACAGUACCAUAGAAGAAAGCUCCGGCUAAAUACGUG
rnacentral:rRNA from 1 species